rnacentral:misc_RNA from 1 species
UUUCCGUAGGUGAACCUGCGGAAGGAUCAUUAAUGAGUUCUCAUGCGGUGCGGUGCUAGCAUCCCAUUUUUGUAUGCAUGUGCUGUCCCUAACAAUCAUCUUCCAACCACCUGUGCACGGGUUUGAGGGACUCGUGAUGUGGUUGCCGCUCUUCGGUGGUUUUCUCACAUUCCCUUAAAUCAUUAUACGCUAUUAACAAUGUUUAAAAUUCUCUGUACCGCAAGUCUAUUAUUAUACUACAACUUUUAACAACGGAUCUCUUGGCUCUCGCAUCCAUGA